UGUGUUUGCAUAUGUGUCCUGCCUCUCUGCUCCCAGCCGUUAAGAGGCCAGUGUUGAUCAGUGGCUGUCCAGGCCUUUCACAGCCACUGACACGCCGGCAGCACAAUGAUGAUGUCACUGAUUCUACUGCUGGCCACCCUGGGGCUCCUUGUUCAGGAUUCAUCAGGAGAAAUCAUCCUGACUCAGUCUCCUGGAUCUCAGUCUGUUGCUCCAGGACAAACUGUCUCCAUCAGGUGUUCAGCCAGUUCAAGUGCUGGCACUUACCUCCACUGGUACCUUCAGACACCUGGAGAAGCUCCUAAACUCCUGAUUCAUCAAGCUACAACUCGUCAGUCUGGAGUUUCAGAUCGUUUUAGUGGAAGUGGAUCUGGGACUGACUUCACUCUGACCAUCAGAGGAGUUCAGGCUGAAGAUUCAGGAGUUUACUACUGUCAGCAAAGUAACAGCUACCCGUUCACACAGUGAUACAGCAUCGUACAAAAACCUCCCUCAG